AUUGAACGCUGGCGGCAUGCCUAACACAUGCAAGUCGAACGGCAGCACAGCAGUAGCAAUACUGUGGGUGGCGAGUGGCGGACGGGUGAGGAAUACGUCGGAAUCUGCCCAGUCGUGGGGAUAACUAGCCGAAAGGUUAGCUAAUACCGCAUACGACCGAGAGGUGAAAGCGGGGGACCGCAAGGCCUCGCGCGAUUGGAUGAGCCGACGUCGGAUUAGCUAGUUGGCGGGUAAAGGCCCACCAAGGCGACGAUCCGUAGCUGGUCUGAGAGGAUGAUCAGCCACACUGGAACUGAGACACGGUCCAGACUCCUACGGGAGGCAGCAGUGGGGAAUAUUGGACAAUGGGCGCAAGCCUGAUCCAGCAAUGCCGCGUGUGUGAAGAAGG
rnacentral:rRNA from 1 species